rnacentral:rRNA from 1 species
CGCGCAGGCGGUUUUUUAAGUCAGGUGUUUAAGCCCGAGGCUCAACCUCGGUACGCAUCUGAAACUGGGGAACUGGAGUGCAGUAGAGGAGAGCGGAAUUCCACGUGUAGCGGUGAAAUGCGUAGAGAUGUGGAGGAACACCAGUGGCGAAGGCGGCUCUCUGGCCUGUAACUGACGCUGAGGCGCGAAAGCGUGGGGAGCAAACA